AUCGCUUCUCGGCCUUUUGGCUAGGGUCAAGUG
rnacentral:snRNA from 1 species